GUUUUCCCACUACACAGGAAGGGGCUGGGGGAGAGAGAUAUUUUUGCAGUGUGGUCAUGUGAAAGGCAAAUUUCACGUGGAUUUUCAUGCAGACCUAUAAAUCAGUCCAUGUUCACUCUAAAAGUUCACGGUCCUUAGCAAACCUCUCAGUGAACUGGGGCUGAGCUUAGAGAUUGUAAAGAAACCUGAAACCAAGCAAGUUUCAACUAAUUUCAUAUUUUGCCGUGAACAUUUUGCUCAGGUCUAACUUGUUUGCUUAGGAGUUUAGGCAAGUACAACCGUGUCCUUUGGGAGAAAAAAAAUGCUCGGAGAAAUCAAAUACACCACACAAAAAGCAGCACUGCUGAUUUGUGCCCAAAGAUAUGCUCUUGGAAGGAAGACCGGUGAGAACCAGAGAUGUUACGCACUGAGAAGGAGUCACUGCAGGCCAGAUCCGCUUUGCUGCAGUAAAUUCUCAGCGCUGGUGCAGAUGAGCAGCCAUUCACUCAACACAGUGUCUGGGCUUGUGAGAAAAGAAGUGACUCAUGGCCAAGGUCAUGCUGUAGUCUGGGAGGACUGCCAGGGAAGGGAGAAAGCUGCACUUGGCCUGGCCUGUGGUGAGUUCACUCCUUGCGUGGGGCGGAAGACACAACCCACCUCAAGAGGAUCGGAGAGCCCUGCGUGGGCUGAAUUGGUUAUCUGGGAGCUGGCAGCCAUGCGCUCCCACUCCUGAGCUGCAAAUAAUGAGUCUGGGAGUAGGAAGUCAGCCUCACAUGGGAUGGCUCCAGAGGUUUUUAGCGCAUGUGG
rnacentral:lncRNA from 1 species